rnacentral:miRNA from 1 species
ACUUUGAAGCUUUGAUUUGAA